rnacentral:rRNA from 1 species
UACAGAGGUGGGCAAGCGUUGUCCGGAAUCAUUGGGCGUAAAGAGCGUGUAGGCGGCCCGAUAAGUCCGCUGUGAAAGUCCAGGGCUCAACCCUGGAAUGCCGGUGGAUACUGUCGGGCUCGAAUCCGGAAGAGGUGAGUGGAAUUCCUGGUGUAGCGGUGAAAUGCGCAGAUAUCAGGAGGAACACCAAUGGCGAAGGCAGCUCACUGGGACGGUAUUGACGCUGAGACGCGAAAGCGUGGGGAGCAAACAGG